rnacentral:tRNA from 1 species
GGCCCGUUCCGCCCGGGGCGGCGGCGGUCUGCAAAACCGUUGUUGCCGGGUUCAACUCCCGGACGGGCCUCCA